CAUGCCACUGCACUCUAGCCUGGGCCACAGAGCAAGACUCUGUCUCAAAUAAACAAAUAAAUAAAGUUAGCCAGGCACAGUGGUGAAUGCCUAUAGUUACAGGUAAUUGAGAGUCUGAGGCAGGAGGACUGCUCAAGCCCAAGAGUUUAAGGUUACAGUGAGCUAUGAUUAUGCCACUGUGCUUCAGACUAAGCAAAAGAGUGAGACUCUGUCUUAUAAGAGACUACAGCCUCUCAUUUGUAAUUUGUGUUUGCUUCUGCAAAAACCAAGUCUAGACUCAUGGUCUUGAACUAUGGGACAUCUGAAUUCCAGUAAGUGUUAGAUUCAGGCAACUGAGGGGUAGCCUUGUGCACACUGUGUGCAUGUGAAAAAAGGGUUCAUGGGGAACUAAAAGGCAAAACAGGGGAAAGUGCCAUUAAGAACCCACAAGUGGCAGACAGUACAGGGCUGGUGGAAAGACUGGUUCAUGCUACAGAUACUGACCCAGGUGUGGCUUUGCUCUUAUUUCUGUGUCCAUGCAGGAAAAUGAGAUUAUAAUCAGGUGACACAGAAGCCUGGGUUGAUUAAAAAAACAAAACAAAACAGGUUGCCGCUGCAGAUUCAGUGUCUGAGGUAGAGCAUAUGCCAGGAGUCUUGUAGGCACCUGUGUGGGUUUUUGGUGGGAAAGUCUAGGAGGAAAGAUACUGUGAGCAAAAAUCUUGAUGGUGAAGCCUUGUCCUGGGAGGGGCUUGACCACAUCAACAUUCACUGGGUACAUUCAGAGGGAGUGAAAGCCAUGUGGUGGAUGCAGGUUGGCAGGAGGGCAGAGGGCAUCUGUUUUCAGAACUUCUUCCCUCAAAGUCUUCAGUCCUUCUCACUCUGGGAGGACACCUGGAUCAUAGGGCAAUGCAUGAUGUAGCAGCCUGUGUGCAGAGCAGAGCCUACCUUCCCUGAGACACUUGGAAUCUCUCUCCAGCCCAGGCCCCAGCAAUGUCUUUCUUCUUAUAACACUUUUGACACCAAAUGUGUAAAGUUUCCUUAAAAUCAACUGAUUCUCCAACACCCACUUGUUGCCCAAAAAUUCAAUGCUGACACAACUUGGAGUUUGCAGGGACCUCACAAAUUCAGGGCUCAUAUCACCGCUCUCCCUACAGAGGUGAGUCACAUGUCCCAGAAGCCUAUCUAUACUUUUGAGCUAUUACCUGUAAAUCUGAGACUCCUAUAAACUUCUCUUCAGGUUAAAUAAUUUUAUAGGACUAUUUUAAAAAACCUCAACAAAUAACUCUAAUUGUAUUUACCAGUUUAUUAUAAAAAUACAGCUCACAAACAGACAAAUGGAAGAGAUGUCUAGAGCAAGGAACAAUUGUGGGGGAUGGUAGUCCUGGAAACAGCUGUAAUUAAAGAAAUUCCCACAUCCCUUUUGUUCUCCAAGAGCAGCUUAAUGAAGAGAAAGUGCAUCUCAUUAUGACUUAGAGGGUGCUCCCCACUCCUUUCUUUUUUUUUUACCUAUCACAAACAUGGACACUUUUAACAAUAAACAACCAGGUCAGUAAUUUAGUCUUCAGUGGUCAAAACAGAGUACUUCUUAACAAUACUUUGCUUGUUUCUCCUCUACCCACCAGCCCCUGAGCUGUGACCCACCCACAGCCUGAGCCAGCCUACAACCCCUAUUUAUACAUACCUCUCCUGAGAACAGGCUGACUUCAAGGUGAAACAUUCUCUUGUCUGGGAUCUGAUUUUGCUACCCUCCAUCCUGUGCUUCCUUUUCAACUUUUUUUUGGAAACUUGUUUCCUCCUCCCUAUGAAAUAAAGCUCUUUUCCACCUAAUGUUUGAGAUCCUCAAAGACCUUAUCAUUUGUACUUUUUGUUGUUGUUGUAAUACUUCUUAAGUAACUUCUUCUGUAAGUCCUAAUUAGUUUUAUUUGACAAAGUCUAGAAACAGUCUCAGAACAGUAACAAUUUUAUUCUAGAAAGAACCUCCCAGCAUUUAUUCUAUCUCAACCCCAACUGCAUCUGCCUACGAGUUUCCAGAUUACCAAGGCUCUAUAUCUUCCCGAAGUGAUAAAGGCUCCUUCCAUGGUUGGCGUGAGCAGGCUGGGUGGGACACCUGCAGGGCAGACCUUCAGGGAGAAUUAACUGAGCCUUCAAUGACCCACUUUGGCAGGCUGAAGAUUGGCCUGAGCUUUUAGUCAAUGGUCUAAGACUUCUACUUCCCAGUUAGGGUCGUUCACUGAAUUUUCGAUUUAAAAAAUUCUUCAUGUUUAAAGAAUCUAGCAAAAAUUAUUCAAAUCUAAGAUUUAAAAGAAAGAAAAUUACAAAGGGCUUACAUUUUAUACCACAAGAGGAAACAUCAAAGUAUUCCUUUUGAAAAUAAACAUAUAAUGUAAUUAUUUCUAUAACAAAUCAUUUAGUAAACAAUUAUAUGUGAACACUUCCAGGAGGUGCCAAGUCUCAGCUCCUAAAACUUAGCAGUACCCUCAAACAUCCGGAUAGCAGCAUACAUAGCAGAGAUAGUCACUUUCACAAGUUCUCUAUUUUGAAAAAAAGAACAACUGAUAUUGUGAUAAAUUUAUAUAAUUUGACAAUUACUCUACUGCAUGUGCUUGUGGAUAUGUAUUCAUUUUCUACCACCAUAGUGGAAAGAGGCUCUCUCUAUCUUUACGCCUGGUGGCAUUUUCAACACUAAGCUCUUAGAUUCUGCUUGAAAUCACCUCUCAACAAACAAAACAAACCUGGAAAACUUACUGCACUCAUUCUGCUAAAGAAAUAGUGCAUCCUGUGCACAGGUGCUGUGUGUGUGUCCUGGCCUGGGGAGCAUCAUUCUCAGGGGAGAACCUUGCUGAAAACAAAGCUGCAUUCCAAAGAGUUAAAACCAUGUUAUUUACUGGAAUGAGAAAUGCUCUUUGCCAGAAAAAAAUUUCAUAUAAUGAGAGCAAAAAUGGCAAACAUUUGCAGCUGGGGAAACGGAUUCACAGAACACAGGCUGUUCCCUGCAUAUUUUUCCUCCUCAGAUAUCAGUUCAUCUGUCAACCAACUGAUGUGAGAGUUGAGGCCAUGUGUUCCCUAUUAUUCCUGGGCACUCUUCUCAGAGGAAGAAAGGGUCAGGAAGUCCUGUUAGGGGAUGCCUGCUAACAGGCUAAUCUCCCUAAGCUGUGAGAGCUCUAAUCAUCAGGUGCAGACUUUUCAGGAGAGAGAAAUGAGGCAGGCAUUCUGAACCUGAAGCUUCAUCACAUUUUGUUCAUCUCAAGACAGUUUUGACAGGCUGUUUUGGAACAUGUCUGGAAGGUGAACUCUGAAGAAGAGUGUGUACUUUGAUGUGACUCAGAUGAGGUCUUUCAUGGGGAUCAGGAAUUCAAUGCCUAGUAUCUGAGCUGGUGUCUUUGAGGUCAGUAGGUUGCCUCUUUGUAUCAAGUCCAUUGUUACCAGGCAGUAGGCUGGAGAUUCUGAAUGGCUUCCAGAACCCCUCUCUGAUUCUCUUUGGGAGAUGGGGUCUGAAAAAGACAAAGUCAGUAUUUUUGGGAAAUUCUAGAAAGUCUGGUUGGAAACCUGGGAAGACCUCUUGCCUAAUGCCUAAAUGCUCAAUUUUCAGCGCUAGCCAUAUAGAUGCUUGGUAGGCAUAGAGCUGGGUUUGCAUUUAUAUCAGCACAACGUAUGUCAGAGUUGAAGAACAGCCAGGACAAAGUGUCUUGGUCACAGGCUGGGGAACAUCUUAAAAGCAAGCUUCUAGCCUGCUGAUUUUCAUCUUGGCAGUGAGUGUUGGGUCCUGGCCAAAGUGCUUGAAUGCAGCAUGAGUCCAAUCCAUAAAUACACCUUCGAAUGGAGAAAUGUUUGUGUCUUUUCAGUUUGAUGCAAUCAAGGUGCAAUUACCAUGCUAUUGGUUUGUUUACUUUUUAUUAUUUAAUAUCAAAUCUAAGACACAAUACAUUAAAUGCUUAUUGAUAUGUGUAUUUGUUCUUCACCAGCCUCAUAGUAUCUGCCUAAUUUUAAUCCUUCUUCCAUUUUGUAGGUUUCAACUUAUUUUAUUGUAGAAUAUUAAAUCUAAUACAGACAUUGUCAUUUUUACAUAUAAUUUUCUUUAAAAUAUUUUCUAUUGGCAUUUUACCUUAAAUUUUGGACUAUUUUAUCAUAUAAAUAGCUUCAUUUCUAUUUAGAAGAUAAAAGUAUUUGGGUUUCUUGUCUUGUUUUUUUUUAUAUUACUUAGUAAUGAGAUAGCCAUUAAUGUUUUCAGGUAUUUUAAAUUUUAGAUAAUUACUCAUUAUAUCCAUGUGAAGUUUGUUUUUACUGCAUGUGUGGGUUGGAGAGCUGUUUUCACUUCUGCUUCAUCUUUACUCUGAUCUCCCCAGAACUCAUAGCUCUCGUAGUUUGGGAAAUAGCAGGUUACCAUUCCAAUAAAUGGGACAAAUACAAUAAUAACACAAUACAAAUGAGUUUGAAAGCAGGACAUGUCUUCAAAGCAUAAACGACAUGAGCCUACAUAUGUACAACAAAGUAAUGUAUAAGUUACAGUUUGGAUGGAAAAGAAAAGCACAGAAAAUUUGUUAAAUUAAAAUGGAGAUCAGGUCUCAAGAAUUUCUGAGCAGACAAAAUCAGUUAGGUCUCAUAAGUGAUCUCAACCUUGCAUGAUUUGCAAAUGUAAGCAAAACUUAAAUUAUUUCUUGUAGCUGCCUAUUUAAAAAACAGAAAUGAAGCUCAACUAAUCAGGAGUAGCCAGCAACCUUAUAUAAAUAGGAACUGUCCUACAAGUUUAAAAAAAAAAAAAAACCAACCAAACAAGAAACAAUAAAACAAUUUUGUACUACCAGCAAUCAAAUGAUUUCUUUGUUUCUCCAUUUUUCCAUUGGAUACUUGCUUCUUCAUGUUCUAUGAUUUAUCAAUUGCUCUUACUCAAAUAAACACUUCACAAUUUCA